rnacentral:rRNA from 1 species
AUUGAACGCUGGCGGCAGGCUUAACACAUGCAAGUCGAGCGGGGGAAGGUAGCUUGCUACCGGACCUAGCGGCGGACGGGUGAGUAAUGCUUAGGAAUCUGCCUAUUAGUGGGGGACAACAUCUCGAAAGGGAUGCUAAUACCGCAUACGUCCUACGGGAGAAAGCAGGGGAUCUUCGGACCUUGCGCUAAUAGAUGAGCCUAAGUCGGAUUAGCUAGUUGGUGGGGUAAAGGCCUACCAAGGCGACGAUCUGUAGCGGGUCUGAGAGGAUGAUCCGCCACACUGGGACUGAAACACGGCCCAGACUCCUACGGGAGGCAGCAGUGGGGAAUAUUGGACAAUGGGGGGAACCCUGAUCCAGCCAUGCCGCGUGUGUGAAGAAGGCCUUAUGGUUGUAAAGCACUUUAAGCGAGGAGGAGGCUACUCUAGUUAAUACCUAGGGAUAGUGGACGUUACUCGCAGAAUAAGCACCGGCUAACUCUGUGCCAGCAGCCGCCGUAA